rnacentral:rRNA from 1 species
UGGCGUAAGGGUGCGUACACGUAUGCAAUCUGCCCGCAACAGGAGGAUAGCUCCC